GCUUUCCUCUUAUACGUGUACGUUAGCCAACCGUGGAAUUUAAUUUACAAGCGUCGAUAGGAGGAGAAGGGGGAAAAAAAGGAUAAUUAAGACGCGACUGCUUUAAUGGCAAAAAGCGGAAGAUCGAGUCGAGUGAUGACGGCCCUGACCGAAUUUCUUCGCACUUGGACGUCGAUCCCCGAAGAUUGUGAAGCUUUUUUAAAAAUUCCGAGUAUUCCAAAUUUCCGCUUUCUUAUAACCUCGUUGCACGUUUCGAUUCUUAUAUAUAUAUGUUAUUACAAUUUAUCAAUUUUUCCCUCGAUAAUACAAUUAUUCAUAUUUUAAAGAGGGAGAGGGAAGUGCGAACCUAACCUCUCCGAGAUUCUUCUUCUCGAUUCUUUGUUGUCGCAUCUGUCGCAUAACCUAUAACCAGCAACCAGAGUCUAUUUUAAGGGAAGAGCGAUGGUAUCGGAAAAAAAGAAAUUGAUCGUGGACAAAUGUUAAAUAACUUGUGAGUGUAAUAUGAAAUACGGAUAAUGCAUCUUUGUACCGAAAAGGAUUUACCUCUAUGCGAAAGAAGCCGUGGAGCGUGGUGAACGCGAAAUACCUUCCUCCACCCGAGGAACCCUAAAUGAUGCGGAGCACCGAACUCUCGGUAUUGCAGUAAGAGAGGAGAGAAGUGGCUUGCAACCGGUUUCAACAAACUAAAGCUAAAUAAAGUCAUGUAGCGGCGCGAACGAAGGAAAUCGUUCUGCCGAUAAUUGCGCCCACGAAAAACUUUUCGAGCUUGGCCGCGGAACGAUCAUUACAUGCGAUAAUAUUUAAAAACAAGCGAUCAUCAUCAUCAUCAUUAUCGAGUUUCCAUCUGUGAUGAUAUACUACGGUGUAUAAUAAACCUGUUAACAAAUUAAUAAUAAUAAGUUUCGUUUCGUUUAAAUGAGAAAUAAGAAUCGAUUCGUGCAAGAGUGAUUAAAUUAAAUUAAUGGAUUAAUUCGAUCUUUUCGUUUAUUUUUUUGAAAAGAUCGAUUCGUCGUUGAAAACGAAUAAAUAAAUUUAGCUUCGACAUUGACAAUGAUCGAGUGGGUUGUCGUUUAUCUCAGAUUUGAUUACAGAGCGGAACUGUCGUAAUUCGCAUUCCGGAAUUAAUUUUCAAGGAACAAGUUCUCGGGUUUGAUACGUUGAUAAGUCGACCCUUCCACGGCGAUUCAUUUGAAUAUAAAUCCGGCUGUCUACACACGUUGAAAAUCUCAGGAACGAAUACGGGAUAAGAAGGAUGGGGAACUAAGAGGAACCAAGAAACGAGUCGGACGAAGAGAGGUAGAAGAAGGAGACGAAACGAAGAAUUCUUUUUUCGUUGCACAUUGUAACCGCAAACCGCGGUGGUCGACCAUGCAGGAUAUUUUUUAUUCACCUUAUUUUGGGUUCCUCCGCGCGUUUGACUUUCUUCUUUUAUAUCGUUUUAAUAUACGCGCACGAAUAGAGUUUGCAAGCGUGUACUUGUGCGUAUACAGUUUCUUCGUAACUUUAUUUCAGAAUAUCGUGGUAAAUGCGAAAUAUGAAUACACUUGUAAUUGCAUCUGCAAAAAGAAUUAAUAAAUUUUUAGAACGUAAAUGCGAAAAUAUAUAAUUUAAUAGAAGGAUUAUAAUUAAGAAAAUUAAAUUUAAGUAAUUUUUAAGAAAUAAUUUAAAUAACCCGAUGUAUAAGUACGAUGUAAGAGAGGAUAAUAAAUAUCGAACUCAAGGAUAUAAUAUCGUUUCAUGAGUUCGAUGACCCGAAACCAUGAAAGAUUUUUAAAAA